GUUUAUGGCCAUACCACCCCGAAACCACUUGAUCUCAUUUGAUCUCAGAAGCCAGGCAAGCCUGGGCCUGGUUAGUACUUGCAAAGGAGUAUAAUGUGUCUUUCUCU
ensembl:rRNA 5S_rRNA 5S ribosomal RNA